UGAGGAAAUACUGCCUGAUGCUCUACCUGGGCGUGAUUUGCGGAGGUGCUGACUGGUAGUCUCCUUUUGCAGACCUUACCUCAACUUACACCACUGGAGGAACAAAUCUCACAAAAUAUCCUAAAGGUUACCCGGAGUGACCAAGGGACAAGCUCAGCCUGCUCCAGCCUUCCUGUCUGGAGGUGGUGGAAUACAUGGCUGCUCCUUCUUUAUUAGGACUGUGCGCGAGCUACUGCCUGAGACCAUCCCACAUUUUUUAAACUGCAGGCUGUCAUCAGCGAUUAAUUUCUCACAGAUUUCUGGAUGCUAGGGAUAUUGUAGACACAAUCGGUUUCUGUGCAUCCCUCCCGUUGCAUUUUGGAUAGCUGUGUGGAAUCUGUGUACCAGUAGUUACUCAUCUUUAUUAACUUGCAGAUUAGAUUCCUGAAAGAUUUUCUGGGGAUAAGUUUCUCAGUGUAGGAACUGAAGACUGUGAAUUACAGGCUCACUGUUUCAGUAAGUAAGUACUUGGAAAGUAUUCUUGUCCACAGUACCGUUGUCACCAGAAAUCCUCGGACAGCAGUUUGGAACCCAGUGGUCUAGGGUAGUACAGUUUUUGAAAAACAAACAUGGCACUGCAGGAAGAGGAACCACAAGGUGGCAAUCUCUCUCCGUACUUCUACUGGCAAACCUCUGGCAACAAGGUCUCGGACGGUAACCGUGUAAAGCUACAGACGGUUGGUCACAUCUUGUAUCUGGACUCAGAGCAACAUUAAUUUUGAUCCUGGAUUUUCUCUUCUGCACGCUUUUUCCUUUAGGAUGAAGCUCUCAGUCAUGAAGAGGUGGCAUUAGAGGCUGCUCUUUGCUGGCUUUUCCAUCCUGUGCCCCCAAAUGGGCACCAGAUGUUUCUUGUUAGAUUUCCAACUAGCAGUGCUGCUUGCGUGCGUGCUGGCAGAGCUACUGUGUGCUUGGAGAGAAGGUUUCCUCCUGUGCUGGAGGCACUGUCUGGUUUGGAGUAUUGCUAACCUCGUGUUACAUUAACGUACAAUCCAACUGUUAUGUGAGGGUCCCACUUCAUGCACUGAGGCUCCUCUACAGCUGCAAAAUAACCUGGAUGUUAGGACUAGGCAGUGACCUCUAAGUUGAGCAUGACCUAUAGACUGGAGGGAACUGCAGGGGCUUAGUGACAAUAGCGCUGCUCCCAAAAAGAUGUGGCCACAGGUUGUAAAGAGGCAGAAGAGGAAUAGUGCUCAGUCUGAGGUGGAGCCACUGUGGUCCUGCAGUAUCAAGCACCAUCUGUUGCAAUGAGCUUCAUCUCCAUCAGGACAUAGUUGUGUUCCUGCCAGAUGUUAGCUUACAUGUGCUACAUGUAAAAGUAAACUGGUGCAAAAGCUGUGGUCUGAUGUGCUUUCAGUAGGAUUUGCCCUGCAUAAGUGAUGACGUGCUAGCCAGCCUCUUGCCGAGAGGAUGCGCUCCAGAAGUUGCAGGUGUGUGGCUGGAGCAUGUUCAACGAGUCAAGAUAGGAAAUACCUUCCAAAGCUCCAAAUAAGACAAAACAAACUGAGCUUUAGCACAUGCUCAAUUGAUUGAGUCUUUGGCAAAGUAUGACAUGAAUUUGCAAGGCUCUCAUUGAGGUCUGUUCUGGCUGUGUCCUGCCUGGUGAGUCCUUCAGCAAGCACGCCACGGCUGUCCUUGUUUUCUUCUUAUGCUGGAGCCUCCUUCUUUUACCUGUUGUCCCCUUAUGAAGUUGCUCUUCAGUUAGGAACAAUAACCUGCUUCCCACUCACCAGGACUGCUCAGGUUCUGCUUUACGCCAUGGCUGCCACCACUGAACUCCCUCCGCAGCUUGUCCACGUCUCCUGCCACUGGUGACAUCUCUGAUUGUGGCUGUCCUCUUCCAGCUCUGAGCAUGCAGGUUCAGGCAGGACCUGGAGGAGGCAGGAAGCAUGGAUGUGAAGACGAGAAGAAAUCUAACAAGCACAAGGCUGGCUUCUCCUGGAACAUGUGUGCAACAUGAUUGUCACUAAUGCUCUGUAGCCAGCUGAGAAAAGAUACUUCACCCCAAAUUCGCCUUGCCAUUCCUGCAGUGGGGUGCAAUUGCUUUAACGAGGCCACUGUAUCGGGGCAGGAAAACUGAGACAGGUAAGUGAAUAUUUCCUUUAGCGGCGUCUUCUCGGAAUCUGGAAGCUGACCCUGGCAGCUGGGAGACUUUUUUGCUCCUUUCCCUGAUGCUUUAUGUUGUUGGUGAUAUCUCAGCAGAUAAGUGACUUUGCUGCAUCCGGAGUUUGCGUUCAAAGCAGAGACAAAUUGUUGAGGAACGUUUCAGAAUAAACACGUCUCUUCCAAUGUAGUUUGUUUGUAAGGAAAAAAAAUACAUAAGGGACAUUAAA